rnacentral:rRNA from 1 species
UACGUAGGGUGCAAGCGUUGUUCGGAAUUACUGGGCGUAAAGGGCUCGUAGGCGGCCAACUAAGUCAUACGUGAAAUCCCUCGGCUUAACCGGGGAACUGCGUCUGAUACUGGAUGGCUUGAGUUCGGGAGAGGGAUGCGGAAUUCCAGGUGUAGCGGUGAAAUGCGUAGAUAUCUGGAGGAACACCGGUGGCGAAGGCGGCAUCCUGGACCGAUACUGACGCUGAGGAGCGAGAGCCAGGGGAGCGAACAGG